rnacentral:rRNA from 1 species
AUACGUAGGUGGCAAGCGUUGUCCGGAAUUAUUGGGCGUAAAGCGCGCGCAGGCGGUUCUGUAAGUCUGAUGUGAAAGCCCACGGCUCAACCGUGGAGGGUCAUUGGAAACUGGGGGACUUGAGUGCAGAAGAAGAAAGCGGAAUUCCACGUGUAGCGGUGAAAUGCGUAGAGAUGUGGAGGAACACCAGUGGCGAAGGCGGCUUUCUGGUCUGUAACUGACGCUGAGGCGCGAAAGCGUGGGGAGCAAUCAGGAUUAGAUACCCUGGUAGUCCACGCCGUAAACGAUGAGUGCUAAGUGUUAGAGGGUUUCCGCCCUUUAGUGCUGCAGCUAACGCAUUAAUCACUCCGCCUGGGGAGUACGGCCGCAAGGCUGAA